GGAGGGUGCAAGCGUUGUUCGGAAUUAUUGGGCGUAAAGAGCGUGUAGGCGGUCCGGUAAGUCAGAUGUGAAAGCCCUGGGCUCAACCCAGGAAGUGCAUUUGAAACUACCAGACUUGAGUACGGGAGAGGAGGGGGGAAUUCCCGGUGUAGAGGUGAAAUUCGUAGAUAUCGGGAGGAAUACCAGUGGCGAAGGCGCCCUCUGGACCGAUACUGACGCUGAGACGCGAAAGCGUGGGGAGCAAACAGGAUUAGAUACCCUGGUAGUCCACGCCGUAAACGAUGAGCACUAGGUGUAGCGGGUAUUGACCCCCCUGCUGUGCCCGUAGCUAACACAUUAAGUGCUCCGCCUGGGGACUACGGUCGCAAGACUA
rnacentral:rRNA from 1 species